rnacentral:rRNA from 1 species
CCUACGGGAGGCAGCAGUGAGGAAUAUUGGUCAAUGGACGCGAGUCUGAACCAGCCAAGUCGCGUGAAGGAUGACUGCCCUAUGGGUUGUAAACUUCUUUUAUAUGGGAAUAAAAUGUUCCACGUGUGGGAUUUUGUAUGUACCAUAUGAAUAAGGAUCGGCUAACUCCGUGCCAGCAGCCGCGGUAAUACGGAGGAUCCGAGCGUUAUCCGGAUUUAUUGGGUUUAAAGGGAGCGUAGGUGGAUUGUUAAGUUAGUGGUGAAAGUUUGCGGCUCAACCGUAAAAUUGCAGUUGAAACUGGCAGUCUAGAGUACAGUAGAGGUGGGCGGAAUACGUGGUGUAGCGGUGAAAUGCUUAGAUAUCACGAAGAACUCCGAUUGCGAAGGCAGCUCACUGGACUGCAACUGACACUGAGGCUCGAAAGUGUGGGUAUCAAACAGGAUUAGAUACCCCGGUAGUC